UACGUAGGGUGCGAGCGUUAAUCGGAAUUACUGGGCGUAAAGCGUGCGCAGGCGGUGAUGUAAGACAGUUGUGAAAUCCCCGGGCUCAACCUGGGUACUGCAUCUGUGACUGCAUCGCUGGAGUGCGGCAGAGGGGGAUGGAAUUCCGCGUGUAGCAGUGAAAUGCGUAGAUAUGCGGAGGAACACCGAUGGCGAAGGCAAUCCCCUGGGCCUGCACUGACGCUCAUGCACGAAAGCGUGGGGAGCAAACAGG
rnacentral:rRNA from 1 species